UACAGAGGGUGCAAGCGUUAAUCGGAAUUACUGGGCGUAAAGCGUGCGUAGACGGUUACAUAAGUCGGGUGUGAAAGCCCCGGGCUCAACCUGGGAAUUGCAUUCGAGACUGCGUAGCUAGGGUGCGGAAGAGGGAAGCGGAAUUUCCGGUGUAGCGGUGAAAUGCGUAGAUAUCGGAAGGAACACCAGUGGCGAAAGCGGCCACCUGGACUGCACCUGACGCUGACACGCGAAAGCUAGGGGAGCGAACGGG
rnacentral:rRNA from 1 species